rnacentral:rRNA from 1 species
UACAGAGGUCCCAAGCGUUGUUCGGAUUCACUGGGCGUAAAGGGUGUGUAGGUGGCGCGCUAAGUCGGGUGUGAAAUUUCGGAGCUUAACUCCGAAACUGCAUUCGAUACUGGCGUGCUUGAGGACUGGAGAGGAGACUGGAAUUUACGGUGUAGCAGUGAAAUGCGUAGAUAUCGUAAGGAAGACCAGUGGCGAAGGCGGGUCUCUGGACAGUUACUGACACUGAGACACGAAGGCCAGGGGAGCAAACGGG